rnacentral:rRNA from 1 species
UACGUAGGGUGCGAGCGUUGUCCGGAAUCACUGGGCGUAAAGGGCGCGUAGGCGGCCUGGUAAGCGUGCGGUGAAAGCCCGGGGCUCAACCCCGGGUCGGCCGUGCGAACUGCGAGGCUGGAGCACUGUAGAGGCAGGUGGAAUUCCGGGUGUAGCGGUGGAAUGCGUAGAGAUCCGGAAGAACACCGGUGGCGAAGGCGACCUGCUGGGCAGUGGCUGACGCUGAGGCGCGACAGCGUGGGGAGCAAACAGG